rnacentral:tRNA from 1 species
GCGCCCGUAGCUCAGUGGAUAGAGCAACGGUUUUCUAAACCGUCGGCCGCAGGUUCGAAUCCUGCCGGGCGUA